GGGGCAGGAUUAGUACGUAGACGCCAUGGAUAAUCGUGAAUCGUGCAUGCUACUGGCACGGUACGGUAGUAUCUAUGAUGAUUCCUAUCUCC
rfam:Glossina austeni, whole genome shotgun sequence.